ACUACGGGCGGCAGCAGUGGGGGAUAUUGGACAAUGGGGGGAACCCUGAUCCAGCGACGCCGCGUGAGUGAAGAAGUAUUUCGGUAUGUAAAGCUCUGUCAGCAGGGAAGAAAGAAAUGACGGUACCUGACCAAGAAGCCCCGGCUAACUACGUGCCAGCAGCCGCGGUAAUACGUAGGGGGGAAGCGUUAUCCGGAAUUACUGGGUGGAAAGGGAGCGUAGACGGUUAAGUAAGUCUGGAGUGAAAGGCCGGGGCCCAACCCCGGGACUGCUCUGGAAACUAUUGAACUUGAGUGCAGGAGAGGUAAGCGGAAUUCCUAGUGUAGCGGUGAAAUGCGUAGAUAUUAGGAGGAACACCAGUGGCGAAGGCGGCUUACUGGACUGUAACUGACGUUGAGGCUCGAAAGCGUGGGGAGCAAACAGGAUUAGAUACCCGUGUAGUC
rnacentral:rRNA from 1 species